UUUCUGUGCAGUCAAUCAUAGUUUUUGUAAGGCAGCCAAUGACCAAUAAAGGAUACGAGUCAAUAAUGGACAAGCAAAUUCUAAGCCUCCCAAUCCCCACCAAAGAAUAAGAGAUUUGGCAAAUAAAACCAUUAACAGCAUUGAUACUUAUCCAAGAAGCAUAUCAGCGAAACUUCAUAAACAUAUUAAUUACCAAAUGAAUUUAGGUUUACAACCUUUUUUACACUCUCCAGUUCAUUAUUUAGGUUUAUAACUUUCUUACAUUCUACAGUUCAUUAUUAUUUAUUUUAUUUUUUUGGGGGGGUGGGGGGGUAAGGAUAAUUAUUUUAUAUCUAAAACCUGCUGGAUGAGUAGCCAUAUCAGUUUGGUCAGGAUCCAAUAAUAUAGCUGAAGAAACUUGAAUAACAUCAGAAAUCACUUACAGGAGGCAACGGAGAUCUGGAUCUUGAUCGUGAUCUGCAAAAGUUCCACAAACAACCCAAAUUUAAAAUCCACUCGUUCCUUUUAAGAACUUUCAUCCAAGAGCCUUGUGCCUCUUCCACGUCAAGAUUUUACCAUAUUUAAAAGGGAAUAAAGAGAGGGGGCAAAAAAAAAAACUUUAGCAGCUCAACACAGAACAAAAUAUCAGAGUUAAUUCAUAAAUUUCCAUCCACAAAUAAUACCUAACUUCAGAAAAAUAAACCUUAUUAAAGAAUACUGCAUUUUUAAGACACCAGUGGACAUGAGAGAACCAUGCUUCCCUACUGUACCACCAAAUAUCCAAGAGAAUCC
rnacentral:lncRNA from 1 species